rnacentral:tRNA from 2 species
CGGGGUGCGUAGCGCAGAUGGUCGUCGCGCCUCGAUGGCAUCUAGGAGGACGCCGGUUCGAAUCCGGCCCGCCCCGGC